GAGGUGGGAGGAUUGCUUGAGUCCAGGAGGUCGAGGCUGCAGUGAGCUGUGAUCACACUACUGCACUCCAGCCUGGGUGACAGAGCAAGACCCUGUCUCA
rnacentral:miRNA from 1 species